rnacentral:rRNA from 1 species
UACGUAGGGUGCAAGCGUUGUCCGGAAUUAUUGGGCGUAAAGAGCUCGUAGGCGGUUUGUCGCGUCUGCUGUGAAAACCCGGGGCUCAACUCCGGGCCUGCAGCCGAUACGGGCAGACUAGAGUUCGGCAGGGGAGACUGGAAUUCCUGGUGUAGCGGUGAAAUGCGCAGAUAUCAGGAGGAACACCGGUGGCGAAGGCGGGUCUCUGGGCCGUAACUGACGCUGAGGAGCGAAAGCGUGGGGAGCGAACAGG